GAAGCGGGAAGAGCUCAAGCUUGAAAUCUGGGGCGCUUGCGUCCACAGAAUUGUAGUUGAGAGAAGUGCUUUCACCGGGACGAGCGAUGGCCUAAGUUGCUUGGAACAGCACGUCAUAGAGGGUGAGAAUCCCGUCUGUGGUUGGUCGGUCCCUCGGAACGAUGCACUUUCAAAGAGUCGGGUUGUUUGGGAAUGCAGCCCAAAAUGGGUGGUAAACUCCAUCUAAAGCUAAAUAUUGCCACGAGACCGAUAGCGAACAAGUACCGUGAGGGAAAGAUGAAAAGCACUUUGAAAAGAGAGUUAAAAGCACGUGAAACCGUUGAAAGGGAAACGCGCUCGGCUAGCAAUGUACGUCUGUGAUUCAGCCGGCUAGUCUUGUCGAGUUGCCGUGUGGCGGAUCCGAAUGGACUGUCCGCGGUAGCGGCGGUGGGCGAGCUAUGGUGCACUUCAUGGACGUGCGCGUCAGCGUCGGUUCUCGACGGACGAUAAGGUGCGUGGGAAA
rnacentral:rRNA from 1 species